GAUGAACGCUGGCGGCGUGCUUAACACAUGCAAGUCGAACGGAAAGGCCCAAGCUUGCUUGGGUACUCGAGUGGCGAACGGGUGGGUAACACGUGGGUGAUCUGCCCUGCACUUCGGGAUAAGCCUGGGAAACUGGGUCUAAUACCGGAUAGGACGAUGGUUUGGAUGCCAUUGUGGAAAGUUUUUUCGGUGUGGGAUGAGCUCGCGGCCUAUCAGCUUGUUGGUGGGGUAAUGGCCUACCAAGGCGUCGACGGGUAGCCGGCCUGAGAGGGUGUACGGCCACAUUGGGACUGAGAUACGGCCCAGACUCCUACGGGAGGCAGCAGUGGGGAAUAUUGCACAAUGGGCGCAAGCCUGAUGCAGCGACGCCGCGCGGGGGAUGACGGCCUUCGGGUUGUAAACUCCUUUCGCUAGGGACGAAGCGUUUUUGUGACGGUACCUGGAGAAGAAGCACCGGCUAACUACGUG
rnacentral:rRNA from 1 species